rnacentral:rRNA from 1 species
AUGGCCGACGCUGUAGACAAGCGCUGGGAGCUUCUGAAGCCAUGGCCGAGCGAAGGGGAGAGCCGCCAUGCUAGACGAGAACAACAACCGUGGCAGGUGAGCAAGAGGAGGACCAUAGGUCAGGGAGUGUUUGGUUUCAGGGAGAUCGUUGGGGAGGAGUUCAUGACCAUGUUCCUAUUCUUGGAGUAUCAAGAUGGUGUGGCCAUCAGGGUUCCCAUCACCAUGCAUGCCAUGCUUGAGCUCCUCAAGAACGCCACCAAGCUGUACCAACUUAUCUUAGAAACAAAGAAGCACCAAGCUGGACUGCUGGCCGAGGAGAUGCAUAUGUGGGCACUUUCUGCUGGCCAAGUUCAGAAGCAAAUUAACUGCUUGUAUUUGCAUAAGCAACAGAGAGAAAAUGUUAGAGAACUUAGCAAAAAAAUGGUACUCGAGGCUUAG